UUUCCGUAGGUGAACCUGCGGAAGGAUCAUUAUUGAAUAAACCUGAUGUGGUUGUAGCUGGCCCUUUCGGGAGCAUGUGCACACCCGUCGUCUUUAUCUUUCCACCUGUGCACCUUUUGUAGACCUGGAUGUAACACUUUCCGAGGCAACUCGGUCGGGAGGAAUGCUGUCAGCUUUCCUUGAAUGUCCAGGCCUAUGUUUUCAUAUACCCCAAAGAAUGUAACAGUAUGUAUUAUUGGGCCUUGUGCCUAUAAACUAUAUACAACUUUCAGCAACGGAUCUCUUGGCUCUC
rnacentral:misc_RNA from 1 species